rnacentral:rRNA from 1 species
GACGAACCGUGCGAACGUUAUUCGGAAUCAUUGGGCUUAAAGCGCGUGUAGGCGGAUUCGUGCGUCUGUCGCUGAAAUCCCCCGGCUCAACCGGGGAACGGGCGCGGAUACGACGAGUCUGGAGGGGCAUAGGGGGACCUGGAACUUCCGGUGGAGCGGUGAAAUGCGUUGAGAUCGGAAGGAACAUCAGUGGCGAAAGCGGCUUCCUGGACCAGAACUGACGAUCAGGCACGAAAGCGUGGGGAGCAAACAGG